UACGUAGGGGGCAAGCGUUGUCCGGAUUUAUUGGGCGUAAAGAGCGUGUAGGCGGUUUGGUAGGUCCGUUGUGAAAACUCGAGGCUCAACCUCGAGACGCCGAUGGAAACCAUCAGACUAGAGUCCGGAAGAGGAGAGUGGAAUUCCUGGUGUAGCGGUGAAAUGCGCAGAUAUCAGGAAGAACACCCGUGGCUAAGGCGGCUCUCUAGUACGGUACUGACGCUGAGACGCGAAGCGUGGGAGCGAACAGG
rnacentral:rRNA from 1 species